rnacentral:rRNA from 1 species
AGUGAACGCUGGCGGUAGGCCUAACACAUGCAAGUCGAACGGCAGCACAGGAAGAGCUUGCCCUUACGGGUGGCGAGGGGCGGACGGGUGAGGCAUACAUCGGAAUCUACUUUUCCGUGGGGGAUAACGUAGGGAAACUUAUGCUAAUACCGCAUACGUUCUACGGGAGAAAGCAGGGGAGCUUCGGACCUUGCGCGAAUGAAAGAGCCGAUGUCGGAUUAGUUAGUUGGCGGGGUAAAGGCCCCCCAAGGCGAGGGACCGUACCUGGUCUGAGAGGUUGGCCGCCCACUCUGGAAUUGGGACACGGUCCAGCCCCCUACGGAAGGCAGCGUAGGGGAACAUUGGACAUAGGCGGAAGUCCUGCCCCAGCACUACCGCGUGGGGGAAGAAGGCUUUCGGGUUGUAAAGCCCUUUUGUUGGGAAAGAAAAGCAGCAGAUUAGAACGCCGCUGUUCUGACGGUACCCACAGAGUAAGCACCGGCUAACUUCGUG